rnacentral:tRNA from 1 species
GUAGAUAUAGUUUAAUACAAAAUAUUAGUCUGUGACUCUAAAGACAGGGGUUAAAAUCCCCUUAUCUGCC